rnacentral:rRNA from 1 species
UACGGGGAGGGCAAGCGUUGUUCGGAAUUACUGGGCGUAAAGGGCUCGUAGGCGGCCAACUAAGUCGGAUGUGAAAUCCCCAGGCUCAACUUGGGAACUGCAUCCGAUACUGGAUGGCUUGAAUUCGGGAGAGGGAUGCAGAAUUCCAGGUGUAGCGGUGUAAUGCGUAGAUAUCUGGAGGAAUACCGGUGGCGAAGGCGGCAUCCUGGACCGACAUUGACGCUGAGGAGCGAAAGCUAGGGGAGCAAACGGG